rnacentral:rRNA from 1 species
UACGGAGGAUCCGAGCGUUAUCCGGAUUUAUUGGGUUUAAAGGGAGCGUAGGUGGACUGUUAAGUCAGUUGUGAAAGUUUGCGGCUCAACCGUAAAAUUGCAGUUGAAACUGGCAGUCUUGAGUACAGUAGAGGUGGGCGGAAUUCGUGGUGUAGCGGUGAAAUGCUUAGAUAUCACGAAGAACUCCGAUUGCGAAGGCAGCUCACUGGACUGCAACUGACACUGAGGCUCGAAAGUGUGGGUAUCAAACAGG